UACAGAGGUCCCAAGCGUUGUUCGGAUUCACUGGGCGUAAAGGGUGCGUAGGUGGCCAGGUAAGUUCGGUGUGAAAGCUCGGAGCUUAACUCCGAAAUGGCAUUGAAUACUAUCUGGCUGGAGGGUCGGAGGGGAGACUGGAAUUCUCGGUGUAGCAGUGAAAUGCGUAGAUAUCGAGAGGAACACCAGUGGCGAAGGCGAGUCUCUGGACGACUCCUGACGCUGAGGCACGAAAGCCAGGGGAGCAAACAGG
rnacentral:rRNA from 1 species